GAUGAACGCUGGCGGCGUGCCUAAUACAUGCAAGUCGAGCGAACAGACGAGGAGCUUGCUCCUCUGACGUUAGCGGCGGACGGGUGAGUAACACGUGGAUAACCUACCUAUAAGACUGGGAUAACUUCGGGAAACCGGAGCUAAUACCGGAUAACAUGUUGAACCGCAUGGUUCAAGAGUGAAAGACGGUCUUGCUGUCACUUAUAGAUGGAUCCGCGCCGGAUUAGCUAGUUGGUAAGGUAACGGCUUACCAAGGCAACGAUGCGUAGCCGACCUGAGAGGGUGAUCGGCCACACUGGAACUGAGACACGGUCCAGACUCCUGCGGGAGGCAGCAGUAGGGAAUCUUCCGCAAUGGGCGAAAGCCUGACGGAGCAACGCCGCGUGAGUGAAGAAGGUCUUCGGAUCGUAAAGCUCUGUUAUUAGGGAAGAACAAAUGUGUAAGUAACUAUGCACGUCUUGACGGUACCUAAUCAAAAAGCCACGGCUAACUACGUG
rnacentral:rRNA from 1 species